UAGUGUCGGCAACCUACAGCUCAUCUUUAAAGUAAAUGGUGGCGGAAUUAAAGGGGAGCUGCUGCCAUUUUCUUCCUGGCAAAGAUAUUAGAGAGAUUCCCUCACAAAAGACAGAAAUGCAGCUCGACAGGGACGGACGAUGAUGCGAUCUGGAAAGAAGUCAAUGUGAAAAUACCACUUCUAAAGGUCCCCGUGCAAUAAUAGGCCCGUAUCUUCAUUACUCACAGAGGCACAUUUCGUCACAUUGGCUCUGGAUUUGAAUGUUGCCUUGUCUUGUAAUUGGUUUCCUCCCUGAACGUAGCUGCAUCGUUCCAGCUUUUUCUGAAAUGACCCCCAUAGCUGGUGGCUUCAAGAUGUUUUUCUGCAGGAGCCGGCAUGCAGCAGGGUCCUCUGCUGGUGGCGGGGCUGGAGAGGGCUGGGGGGUUGGAAUGACACUCAAGAGGCCAAAUCACCGAAUCUGGGCCCAGGGUUUUUUGGCAGGCGGCAGAGUGUGAAAUUUACAGAAUUUCUUAUGUUGCUGGUGCAGCUGCCUCUGUGCCUGCCACCGUGGUAUUGUCAGACAGAGGAGAGGAGUAGAGGGCUGGACUGAGGGAGUGGGAGAAUUCAGAUAGAUGGCUGCAGGAAUUGGGCCUCUGGAGCGAAAAGAAAAAGGACGUUUUGGGGGAAGACUUCAAAUCGGAGGCUGUCAGGUCCGUCUGCUGAGCUCCUGCUGCUGCCUUUCAUUCAGACGUACAGAAAGUGUCGAGGAGCCAUUGACGCCGUAGGAGUGACGUCUCCAGGUCCAGAUGCUGCAGCCUGAGAAAACACGACGUGGGCGAGAAGAGGCUCCGAGGGCCGGAGUUCAGAGCUGUUAUAACACGAGAGGACAGCGGGAUGAGGUGAAGGAAUACAGCUGUGGUCGCAGAGAGGGAGGGAGGAGGAUCGGAAAGAUUAAAGGAUGGACGGCGGAUUGAAGGAGGGACGGAUUGUGUUCGACACUCGUGAGCUCCGAGGUGCAGCAGAGGGGUCAUUAACGCCGGCGACCACCGUCCGGAUUAAAGCUGCAGGACGACGGCGGGAACAAAACGUAACCGGGGACCUGAAAGAAGAACGUUCCAGCUUUAAUUUGAAAUUCUCGUGUGUGAGAAAAAGGUGACAUCACACUCAUGGCUGUUAAAGUUCCAAUGGAGACUAAGCCCUGGUUGUUUUUGUCUCCAGGAGCUGAAAGCUUCGAUUCAUCUGGAGGAAACACGAGCUAAAAUCUGAGCAGAGGUUGAACAACUCAGCAGCUGAUGUCUCCUUUUAUGUCUUUAUUUAAACGUGAGACUAAAACACAGCACAACAUUUACCUUUUUCAUACAGAAAAGCUCCUGUUUGACCUUUAAAUGAUUCUUUUCUACUGUAAAAAUCAAAUUUUAUAACAGAUAUUUGCUUUUAUUUUCAAUCUGAACAUUAAAUUAUCACGUUGUUUUAAUAUUUUUAGCCUCCUCGCGGUCACAUUUAUUACCUUUUCUGUUUUUUAUUGUGAUCUUGUUCAUAUUUUCUUUUAGGAUUAUUUUGGAAUCGUAUAAAAGUUUGUUGUUUUUAUGUUUUUCUUGUGUUUCUUUUAGGCUGUGGUCAAAAAUGUUUUUGUUCAUUCUUGUCUAAUGUUUUGUGUGUCAUUUUCAUUUUAUUUUUUAAGGUUAGUAGGGUUUUUAGAGAAAAUCAAAGACAUCCCAGCUACAACUCCUGUAGUAAACUGUAAAAAUGAAUGAUUUUAACACUUUUUUCUCCAUUUUUAUCCACUAAUUUAGCGCCAUUUCACCUGUUUUGGUAAAUUACAGACAUUAACUGGUGAAAAUCAAAGACAAAAACUGUUAAUUUAAGCUUUAACCAGAAGAAUUCAGGUCAAAACUGAAAGUAAAGUCCACAACAAAAAUCAGGCAACGAUGUUUGUACUUCAGUCACUUUGUAUAGUUCAGUUUUCUUAAUGUUUUGGUGUUUUUUUGUCGUCCAGUUCUAUUCUUAUAAAUACUUGUCUGUAAAAUUUGAAGUUGAAUAACAUGUUUUUUAUAAUUCUAAGAGGGAAAAGCAGGUUCUUGGCAGUGUUUGACCAUAAAAUAAUCAUUUUCUCCUGAACAGAAAACAUUAAAAAGCUCAUUUUUAAA